rnacentral:rRNA from 1 species
AAGUCGAAGUAAGAAGAUAUCGUAAACUACAUCUGCUUUAGGAGCCCGACCUUUACCUGCCGUCCACGCCGCUGUAGGGCUCAUGGUGCAGGUAACGAAGUACGCCACCACUCGGUUUGCCGGUAGAAGUGCGGAAUCUGCGUGUGCUCAUGCAUAGUCCUGGUACGGAAGAACAAGAACACAUCUGGUGAAGUACUACAAACCGACCUGAUUGCACUGUGGUAGCGGUUCCGUGGUAGCUCAGGCCCGCUCUACUUCCUAUCCGUGAUGGGGCUACGGUUUACCCUAGAGCAAAGGGAACUUCCUCUUCGCUCGUCGUGGCAGUACGGUGCACUUCCUCAGCCACUACAGCUGUACCAGGCGCCGAAGCAGGAAGUACCAUGGCCGAGCAGCUCGACCCGCUUCCCACACUGCCCACUAAACUUGCGGCCCUCCGUAGUACCGCUCGUGGUACAGCACCAGGAGUCGCACUACUUUACCUCCGUGGUCGAACUGCUAUAACUGCCACCCGCCGCGACACCGCACGGGACGCAGUAACACAAGGCGCCGUGGCACACCGCUUCACCCGCGCUCCUCACCCCCACCAGAGGCACCGUAGCCGGAGGUACCGCGGCCGAGCCGCUGUAGCUUUCCACCCGCCGUAGUACCGUUACGAGGCACAGCAACAGGAAGGCACCGCGGAGCACCGUUUCACCCGCACUCACCACU